rnacentral:rRNA from 1 species
UACGUAGGGACCAAGCGUUGUCCGGAAUCAUUGGGCGUAAAGCGCGCGUAGGCGGCCCGGUAAGUCCGUUGUAAAAGUCGAAGGCUCAACCUUCGAAAGCCGAUGGAUACUGCCGGGCUAGAGUACGGAAGAGGCGAGUAGAAUUCCUGGUGUAGCGGUGGAAUGCGCAGAUAUCAGGAGGAAUACCCAUAGCGAAGGCAGCUCGCUGGGACGUUACUGACGCUGAGGCGCGAAAGCAUGGGGAGCGAACAGG